UGAGUAACCUGCCCUUAACUCUGGGAUAAGCCUGGGAACCUGGGUCUAAUACCGGAUAUGACUCCUCAUCGCAUGGUGGGGGGUGGAAAGCUUUUUGUGGUUUUGGAUGGACUCGCGGCCUAUCAGCUAGUUGGUGAGGUAACGGCUCACCAAGGCGACGACGGGUAGCUGGUCUGAGAGGAUGGCCAGCCACAUUGGGACUGAGACACGGCCCAGACUCCGUACGGGAGCAG
rnacentral:rRNA from 1 species